rnacentral:tRNA from 3 species
CGAAGUGGCUCAGUUGGUAGAGCAACGCAUUCGUAAUGCGUGGGUCACGGGUUCGAGUCCCGUCUUCGG